UACGUAGGGUGCAAGCGUUAAUCGGAAUUACUGGGCGUAAAGCGUGCGCAGGCGGUGAUGUAAGACAGAUGUGAAAUCCCCGGGCUCAACCUGGGAACUGCAUUUGUGACUGCAUCGCUGGAGUGCGGCAGAGGGGAUGGAAUUCCGCGUGUAGCAGUGAAAUGCGUAGAUAUGCGGAGGAACACCGAUGGCGAAGGCAAUCCCCGUGGGCCUGCACUGACGCUCAUGCACGAAAGCGUGGGGAGCAAACAGG
rnacentral:rRNA from 1 species